UCGGUUGGCUAAGUGUUAAUAUAGGUCUCUUAAGCUACAGAACAGUAUUGUUAUUCGUUAGAAAAUUAAUAUAUUCAAGAAAGAUUCGGUCUCAUAUCCUUUUUUUUUUUAAAUAACUUAGGUCUCCUUAUAGAACACGACAGAGUAGCUUUUAAAUAAAAUGCGAGAAAAAAUAAACAGGAGAAAAUGUACAAUAACCUACACGUGAAGAAACUUUCUGUAUUAAAAAGAAGCGAUAAGAAAGUGGUGGCAAGGUUCGACGAAAUCGAUGACACCUCGUCUCGGUUCCGUACAAACACAGUUUGAAGAUGAAUGGCGUUAGUGUACCAAUAAUAACUCCUGAGUCUGCGCGAGCCAGUACACCGAUAUCCUCAAGUGUAAACGACAACCAGAACAUGAACAGCGAAAAUCCUGGCACACAAGGUUACGAAUAAGGACAACAACGCCCUGUGGACAAAAAGAGUUAAACACGAGAGAUCACGCUAUGCUUGAACAAUUCUGAAACCAUAAAACCGAACAAAAAUAAUGGAAGAGACGAUCAGCGACGACGAAUACGAAACCGAAGAAGAUGAGCAGCAUUCAUUAACAAGAAGAGUCCUUACAAAUUGCUCGAUACUGAAGGAACCAUGAUAUCUAGACGAUCAUGUUAUGUUAGCGAUAGAAUUUGUCAACGGAUCGGAAGAUCUAGAAACGUUUAAAACUGCUAUGAACAGCAAAGAAAGAGCUAAAUAGAGGGAAACCAUGAAUGUGGAAAUGUUCUCCCUACAAAAAAAUUAGAUAUGAAAGUUAAUGGAUCUACCAAGGAAUGUGAAUGUGGUACCGUGAAAAUGAACUAUUCGAGUGAAAAGAAAUCCCGAUGACACGAUCGACAAAUACAAGGCAAGGUUAAUCAUUAAAGGAUUCAAUCAGUGUUAAAACAUAGACUACAGCCAAACGUUUAGCCCAAUUGUAGGGUUAGCCUACUCAGUAAAAGUUUGUAUAGGCUGAAAUAGGUCUCAAAAACAAGCGUUUUGCAGAAUUGCUCGUGAAACUGGGAUUUCAAACAAGCGAUGUUGAAUCUCGUUUGUACAUCCGAGAUAAGAAUGGCAAGGAAUUCAUACUCAUCCUAUAUGUAGAUGACGGAUUGCUAGGAACAACCGAUCCAGAAGAAUUAAUUUUUAUGUAAAACGUAAAAGAUUGUACGGUAACAUAGUAGGUUCAUAAAAGAAAUUAAAUUCGUAAGAUGAUUAUGCAAAAUCCAAAAAUACGUAAGUGCCCGAAUAUUUAUCAACAGAGUAUGUAGUGUACAUCAAAUAUAUUUAAUGGUUUCACAGAGAAAAUAUUUUUUAAGUCUGAUUUUUUACUUUUCUUCGUAAGCAAAUGCAUAAAUGAUAUGCAAAUAUUACAUUUUUUUCUAUUAUGGAUAUGAGAAGUUAAAUUAAUAAUAAAUAAAAUUUAGGUUAUUGUGGAAACUAAUGGUUUUUUUUUCAUUAAGAUAGAAACAAAAAGAAACAUAAAUAAUCUACUGAAAGUUGAAAUAAGUAAUAUCUGGUUACUUCUUUCCAUCAAACACAAGAAAUAAACUUUAAUGAAACUAUUUGGGUUUGAAGGAAGCUUGUGCAGAAUAUGAAAUAAAGUCGGAUGAAAAAUCGAUUUGAUACUACAAUUUCGGUUGGGUUAAACGAGAAGCACGUAGCAUAGAUAUCACAAAAGCAACAUCAAUCGUGACAAGACGUUUUAUUCGUAAAUUGUUCACCGAUCAAAAAGUGUUGCAACAACGAUGUACCGGAUAUAUCAAUGAAAUAUCAUAAAUUUCACAUAAAGAAUACUUCAUCAAAGAUGUCUAUCUCAAAUCCGGGCGUUUCUUUGAGAGGUUCUUCGUCAACGCUGCAGUGAUGGAUUUUCGCGUGUACGGACGUAAAAGCGCACCCGGAGUUCCGUUUUUCGAGGAACCAUACUAAUCCAAUUGCAAGUACGACGGCUGAAAUUGGAAUUUAAAAACACGAUUCGAGAGACGCUUUGCUUUUUUGUCAUGUAUCGAGAUAUUUGUGAACGGCCUGUCAGUUUCGGCAAUGAUCUCUAUCUGUACCGGUAGCAAUCUGCUCCAAUGAAAUUAGUGCAAUUUUCAACGAGUUAACUAAAUCAUUCGUAUGUGUUUGUUUAAAUGAAAUCAAUAAUUUCUAAGUCAAAGUCAUAUAGGAUUAGAAUUCUAUAGAAGGUGUUAAUUAUAAUAAUCAACAACCAAAGUUAGUUAGAAAUUAAUUGAUAAUGGACUAAAAUAUACAAAUUAGAAUAUUUUCCAUUUAAAAAUCGGGAUCA